rnacentral:rRNA from 1 species
CAGCAGCCACGGGAAUACGAAGGGUGCAAGCGUUAAUCGGAAUUACUGGGCGUAAAGCGUGCGUAGGCGGUUUGUUAAGACGGAUGUGAAAUCCCCGGGCUCAACCUGGGAACUGCAUUUGUGACUGGCAAGCUAGAGUGUGGCAGAGGGGGGUGGAAUUCCGCGUGUAGCAGUGAAAUGCGCAGAUAUGCGGAGGAACACCGAUGGCGAAGGCAGCCCCCUGGGCCAACACUGACGCUCAUGCACGAAAGCGUGGGGAGCAAACAGGAUUAGAUACCCCCGUAGUCCCUGUCUCUUAUAA